AGUGAACGCUGGCGGUAGGCCUAACACAUGCAAGUCGAACGGCAGCACAGUAAGAGCUUGCUCUUACGGGUGGCGAGUGGCGGACGGGUGAGGAAUACAUCGGAAUCUACUUUUUCGUGGGGGAUAACGUAGGGAAACUUACGCUAAUACCGCAUACGACCUACGGGUGAAAGCAGGGGAUCUUCGGACCUUGCGCGAUUGAAUGAGCCGAUGUCGGAUUAGCUAGUUGGCGGGGUAAAGGCCCACCAAGGCGACGAUCCGUAGCUGGUCUGAGAGGAUGAUCAGCCACACUGGAAAUGAGACACGGUCCAGACUACUACGGGAGGCAGCAGUGGGGAAUAUUGGACAAUGGGCGCAAGCCUGAUCCAGCCAUAACGCGUGGGUGAAGAAGGCCUUCGGGUUGUAAAGCCCUUUUGUUGGGAAAGAAAAGCAGCAGGUUAAUACCCCGCUGUUCUGACGGUACCCAAAGAAUAAGCACCGGCUAACUUCGUG
rnacentral:rRNA from 1 species